rnacentral:rRNA from 1 species
AGAACGAACGCUGGCGGCGUGCCUAACACAUGCAAGUCGAGCGAGAAAGCUCCUUCGGGGGUGAGUAAAGCGGCGCACGGGUGAGUAACACGUAGGUAACCUACCCUCGAGCCCGGAAUAACCUACCGAAAGGUGGGCUAAUACCGGAUGUGACCACGGAAGUUACGGCUUUUGCGGUAAAAGAUGGCCUAAGCUUGCAAGCUAUCACUUGAGGAUGGGCCUGCGUACCAUUAGCUAGUUGGCGGGUAAUGGCCCACCAAAGGCUAAUGAUGGUUA